rnacentral:rRNA from 1 species
GCACAAGCGGUGGAGUAUGUGGUUUAAUUCGAUGCAACGCGAAGAACCUUACCUGGUCUUGACAUCCCGGAGACCCUUAGGAAACUAGGGGGUGCUUCCAUCUGGAAGAAUCUGGAGACAGGUGCUGCAUGGCUGUCGUCAGCUCGUGUCGUGAGAUGUUGGGUUAAGUCCCGCAACGAGCGCAACCCUUGCCUUUAGUUGCCAGCAGUUCGGCUGGGCACUCUAAAGGGACUGCCGGUGUUAAACCGGAGGAAGGUGGGGAUGACGUCAAGUCCUCAUGGCCUUUAUGACCAGGGCUACACACGUACUACAAUGGCCGAUACAAAGGGCAGCGACACUGCGAGGUGAAGCCAAUCCCGUAAAAUCGGUCUCAGUCCGGAUUGGAGUCUGCAACUCGACUCCAUGAAGUUGGAAUCGCUAGUAAUCGUGGCUCAGCAUGCCACGGUGAAUACGUUCCCGGGCCUU